ensembl:lncRNA
UGCUGUUAUUACGGUUAUUUUUUAUUCCUGAUGCAAACUGAUAGUCAGUUAAAUUUUCUUUCGGAAAUCUGCUGCCCUAUGCAGUUUGCUUAUUAACAACAACAGGUUGAAAUAUAACUUCCGCUGUCUGGUGACGGGUUUCCUUUUUGAGGUAUUUUCUCAAGGUAAGCACGCGCACGCUUCUCCUCUCCAAUUGCAAAAUUAAAUUUGCUGACCUUGAUGUUUUGCUCCCUUUUCUCCUUUGAUUUUUCUUUUUCACUAAGGAUGUAUUCUGUAUAACACUUCCUGUUAAACUCAUCCCACUUUUGUUCUUUCACUUGUUCCUCCUGUCUUCUUUUUUCUUUUAGCCUUAUGGCAUUUUUUCUGCCUUCAUCAAUAGCUUUUAGUAUUUCUGCUCUCAUUUGUUCUUCUUCGAGGCAUCUGGCUUUAAAUUCUCUGGCCUCUUUUUCCGCAUAAGCCUUUUCUAAUUCUGCCUCUCUUAAAGCUUUUUUAACAGCCUCUGCUUUUUGCAUUGCUUCCAGUUUUUCCGAAGCGAUGUCUGCUGUUAGCUGUCUUCUUCUUACUCUGGCCAUGGUGUGAGCCAUCGAGAGAGCCAUCUUUUUAUCAACUUCUUUUUGAACACGUUUGUCAUGUUCAUAGCGCUCUUUCUGUUUUUGAAUUUCAAGAGGAAGCAGAGGACACGUGUAGGCCCAAUGACAAACAAAUUCAUCACCCAUAACGCACUUAUUAAGGGGAUCACCGGGACAGCGAGAAAUGAUCACAGGUCUGUGAGGCUGUAAACACGUGCACCUGUGGGUGACCAGGGGGACGCUCUAAAACUCUCAGGAACCACGAGUAUAUUAGUUUAUUAUAUCGUGGACUUCACUGAGUGAAAAAGGAUGAAGAUCCAGUGCAGCUGGUCUCAGGAGAUGAUGAAAAAGCCUGAACACCUUCUCUACAACAACAACAAGAAUAAAUUGUGACCAGGCUCAUUGGCUGAGAUGGUGGAGCAAAACAGCAACACAUUAAUUGUGACUGCUGAAGUUCCUGUAUGAACCCAACAACUCUGAAAAUCCAAGGAAAAGGUGUGCAUUUUCCUUAAAGCCCAGAUGGAAUUUGAUGGACUACCAUGCUGCAUUCAGGACUUUCUCUCACUGGUAUAUGAAGAGUGCUACCAGUAGAAAGUGUGGACACAAUGUCUCACUUCAUGCUUGCUCUUCACUAACCUCUGGUGUUGCUUUCUAGUCACUUGUGUUGCUAUGGUCUCAUUUGUUAUUGUCUCACAAGCAGAGGUUUUUGCUUGGGAAGUAACCAUGACCUCUUUUCAGAGGCUUCUCUAACAUUUAAUGGUUGUGAAAUAUGUCAACUUUUCUCCUCUACUUUAACUACUAAGAGCAUUUUGAGCACAGUGGAGAAAAGGGGUUGCACUGAGGAUUUUGAACUGUGGCGUUUAAGUGUUGUCACUGCAGAAGAUUUGUGGACACAGAUCCUUAUUCACUUAGCUGCUGUUCAGUUUAAAAGUCUUCAUCAGAACAAGCAGAACAAUUGCACUUUGCUCCUCACUGUCUUUGAAAAGUAAGAGCUGAUAAAACAAAUCCACUAAAUGCACUUUUAUCUUUAAAUUUGGUAUAGUAAUUUGUCGAACAGACAAGUAAUCUUGUCUGUUCGAUUACUUUGUCUGUUCUAAUAACAGACAAGUAAUCAUGUUCUAAUAAACCCAAAUUUCAGCAACACCUUUGGAUCUGUUCGGUUUUAUUCAUAUAGCACCAGUUAACAAAUCGUUUCUCAAGUCACUUUAUAUUGUAAGGUAAAGACCCGACAGUGUUAAUCCAGGACAAAUGUUCAUUCUGAUUCAAUGUUGAAGCGAAUGCAAGUCUGUAAUCAAAGGUGAGUUUUUGGCCAUAACUGACUACAUAUGUAUAUUAUAUCAUGAGUGGACAGACAUGGUUGUAAACCACACCUUAACUGUUUGGCUGAGCUAAAACAACCACAGCAGGGAUUCUAGCUUUAAGGUACUGUGGAUAUUGUUAAAUGUGCAAAUAUUGGUAUAUUUUUUGUUUGUCAGCUGUCCGUUUCAAAGAAAACACUUUGACGCCGCUUGAAUCCAUGUAUUUAUGAACACAUUUUCAUGAUGUUAGGGACCAAGCAGUUAGGCAUAGAGGACACAGGUGUUUAAUUCAAAAAUGGGUUUUUAUUGACCCAAAAUAUGAAAAAUAAUUGACAAAGCCAAAACUUAAAUAGGCAGACCAAUAAAAGAGGUCAACUCAAUAAACUAAACUCAAAAUAACAACUAACAAAACCUCAAACAAACAUAAGACAAACUGACCUCGUGAAAUGACUGUGACAAAGUGGCUAGGAUUGAAUUCAUUUAUCAUUUGUCACUUACAUAUAUUGUGAAUUUAGCUUGUGGUAUCUUAUAAUGAAUCAUAAUGCUUUAAUGUACACACUGCAGAUGGACUGUUUGUGGUAGCAUUGGUUACAUUCAUUACAUCUGUGCAAAUGUUCUUAAAGCCAAAUGUCACUUAAUCAUUAGUUGAUUUGAAUCUUUCAUUUGAUUAUGUAGUUUGGUUAUACAUACAUGUACCGUUGUGUGUUCCUUUGUGCAGGUCCUAUAUGUAAAGGGCAUGUAGGAGGGGCCGCCCCAGUACUUCCUGUUUAUAUAGGAUAUGAUUUCAUUGAUUGAGUCAAUUAGGUGUAACAAAAAGAAGGGAUGUUUCUUUUGUGUAAAAUUGUUUAUUUCCUUUGAAAUAACCUCAUGAGUCAGAUUGUGUGAAGAGAAUGACUUUUCAAACUGUUUAUUUGGGUAAAUGAGUUUGUUAAGUGGAAAAAUGAUUUUAUUCCUGUUUCUUUGUCUAGACGGUGUUAUUUGGUCUAACCUGUUUUCUCAAUGGUAGGGAUUAAUGAGUUUCAGCUGUGGGUGGAAUUCUGUAUAAAGCAGGGGAGAUUUUGACUGCCAGGGUUCUUAUGUUUGAGUGAAACAAUUGUUGAACAGUGACGCCAGAAAAUAAAGGACACUUAAAAGAAACUUGAACAGUCUGCUGAUGCUGUCUUCCUAUCACUUUCCUUGCUGCUUAUGUUAUGCUACCCCACAAUGACACAUGAGGGAACUUAAAUACUGGCUUAGCUAAACCAAAUGACACACAAGGGGGACUGAUUUCAAGAAAAAUGGAAAAAAUAAAAAGUUUGUGAGUUAUGCUGUCGUUAAAUUUUAGCCUAGUAUUUGAGUUGAGGACAAUAAAUGAAUAUUUUACAUUAAAUGUACCAAUGUUGUUGUGUAAUACUUGGGCACAGAUCAUUUUAAGAAGUUUUAAUUUACAAGCAAAUAGUGUAUAAGGUUGUAAUUGUAUAGAAAUGUAUUGUUAAGGAAAAGUACAUUUAAUUGGUUAAAGUUGAAAGUAGUGACUGUAAAUAGUAAUAGAAACAAAAUUUUUAGUUUUUCUAUUAACAGAACAUAUCUGUUAAUGAUACAGAAAAUAUACCAUGAAUAAAUGGAAUUUUCCAUAGUUGAAGGAAAUGUCCAUAAAUCUAUUUGGAAUGGUAUAGAACUUUGUGACACCUUGAAGAGUAUGAAUAAUUUUGGACAUGACACUUUUGCUCAAAUGUAAAUAAAAGCUGAGAAAUAUUUUUUUUCUAUAACAAUGCCUCUUGUACAUUGUCUUAUUAUCUUUUGGGAGACACCUGUGUCAUUUCCGGUCCAAAAAACCUUGCUGUUUGAAUAAAAGUAACUUUAAGUUAAAAUUUGCCAGGGGUAUGAAUAAUUAUGGGCUUGACUGUGUGUGAUCAUUACAGUAUGAUGUUCCAGACUGCUGACUGUGGCCACUCCCAAAGUUAUUAGUUGCUCAAUCAUCAUUCAGCCUAAUCACAGCCUCCUGCACUUGCAUAAACAUGUCUUUGGACCACAUAUUGACACUUUCAGUGAGCAGCUAUUUUGAGCCUCUGCAAAUUGUAUUACUAUUACUCCUUAACAGUUGAUGCGUAAUUUUGUUGUACAUGUAAAAUGACAAUAAAGGGC